rnacentral:rRNA from 1 species
AUUGAACGCUGGCGGCAGGCCUAACACAUGCAAGUCGAGCGGAUGAGGUGCUUGCACCUUAUCUUAGCGGCGGACGGGUGAGUAAUGCUUAGGAAUCUGCCUAUUAGUGGGGGACAACAUUCCGAAAGGAAUGCUAAUACCGCAUACGCCCUACGGGGGAAAGCAGGGGAUCUUCGGACCUUGCGCUAAUAGAUGAGCCUAAGUCGGAUUAGCUAGUUGGUGGGGUAAAGGCCUACCAAGGCGACGAUCUGUAGCGGGUCUGAGAGGAUGAUCCGCCACACUGGGACUGAGACACGGCCCAGACUCCUACGGGAGGCAGCAGUGGGGAAUAUUGGACAAUGGGCGGAAGCCUGAUCCAGCCAUGCCGCGUGUGUGAAGAAGGCCUUUUGGUUGUAAAGCACUUUAAGCGAGGAGGAGGCUACCUGGAUUAAUACUCUAGGAUAGUGGACGUUACUCGCAGAAUAAGCACCGGCUAACUCUGUGCCAGCAGCCGCCGUAACAC